rfam:Ovis aries breed Texel chromosome 8, whole genome shotgun sequence.
UCCCUUAUAGCUCAGUUAGGAAAGAAUCUGCUUGCAAUGCAGGAGACCUGGGUUCGAUUCCUGGGUGGGGAA